rnacentral:rRNA from 1 species
GGGUUGUGAGGUUAAGCGACUAAGCGUACACGGUGGAUGCCCUGGCAGUCAGAGGCGAUGAAGGACGUGCUAAUCUGCGAUAAGCGUCGGUAAGGUGAUAUGAACCGUUAUAACCGGCGAUUUCCGAAUGGGGAAACCCAGUGUGAUUCGUCACACUAUCAUUAACUGAAUCCAUAGGUUAAUGAGGCGAACCGGGGGAACUGAAACAUCUAAGUACCCCGAGGAAAAGAAAUCAACCGAGAUUCCCCCAGUAGCGGCGAGCGAACGGGGAGGAGCCCAGAGCCUGAAUCAGUGUGUGUGUUAGUGGAAGCGUCUGGAAAGGCGCGCGAUACAGGGUGACAGCCCCGUACACAAAAAUGCACAUACUGUGAGCUCGAUGAGUAGGGCGGGACACGUGGUAUCCUGUCUGAAUAUGGGGGGACCAUCCUCCAAGGCUAAAUACUCCUGACUGACCGAUAGUGAACCAGUACCGUGAGGGAAAGGCGAAAAGAACCCCGGCGAGGGGAGUGAAAAAGAACCUGAAACCGUGUACGUACAAGCAGUGGGAGCCUCUUUAUGGGGUGACUGCGUACCUUUUGUAUAAUGGGUCAGCGACUUAUAUUCUGUAGCAAGGUUAACCGAAUAGGGGAGCCGAAGGGAAACCGAGUCUUAACUGGGCGUUAAGUUGCAGGGUAUAGACCCGAAACCCGGUGAUCUAGCCAUGGGCAGGUUGAAGGUUGGGUAACACUAACUGGAGGACCGAACCGACUAAUGUUGAAAAAUUAGCGGAUGACUUGUGGCUGGGGGUGAAAGGCCAAUCAAACCGGGAGAUAGCUGGUUCUCCCCGAAAGCUAUUUAGGUAGCGCCUCGUGAAUUCAUCUCCGGGGGUAGAGCACUGUUUCGGCAAGGGGGUCAUCCCGACUUACCAACCCGAUGCAAACUGCGAAUACCGGAGAAUGUUAUCACGGGAGACACACGGCGGGUGCUAACGUCCGUCGUGAAGAGGGAAACAACCCAGACCGCCAGCUAAGGUCCCAAAGUCAUGGUUAAGUGGGAAACGAUGUGGGAAGGCCCAGACAGCCAGGAUGUUGGCUUAGAAGCAGCCAUCAUUUAAAGAAAGCGUAAUAGCUCACUGGUCGAGUCGGCCUGCGCGGAAGAUGUAACGGGGCUAAACCAUGCACCGAAGCUGCGGCAGCGACGCUUAUGCGUUGUUGGGUAGGGGAGCGUUCUGUAAGCCUGCGAAGGUGUACUGUGAGGUAUGCUGGAGGUAUCAGAAGUGCGAAUGCUGACAUAAGUAACGAUAAAGCGGGUGAAAAGCCCGCUCGCCGGAAGACCAAGGGUUCCUGUCCAACGUUAAUCGGGGCAGGGUGAGUCGACCCCUAAGGCGAGGCCGAAAGGCGUAGUCGAUGGGAAACAGGUUAAUAUUCCUGUACUUGGUGUUACUGCGAAGGGGGGACGGAGAAGGCUAUGUUGGCCGGGCGACGGUUGUCCCGGUUUAAGCGUGUAGGCUGGUUUUCCAGGCAAAUCCGGAAAAUCAAGGCUGAGGCGUGAUGACGAGGCACUACGGUGCUGAAGCAACAAAUGCCCUGCUUCCAGGAAAAGCCUCUAAGCAUCAGGUAACAACAAAUCGUACCCCAAACCGACACAGGUGGUCAGGUAGAGAAUACCAAGGCGCUUGAGAGAACUCGGGUGAAGGAACUAGGCAAAAUGGUGCCGUAACUUCGGGAGAAGGCACGCUGAUAUGUAGGUGAAGCGACUUGCUCGUGGAGCUGAAAUCAGUCGAAGAUACCAGCUGGCUGCAACUGUUUAUUAAAAACACAGCACUGUGCAAACACGAAAGUGGACGUAUACGGUGUGACGCCUGCCCGGUGCCGGAAGGUUAAUUGAUGGGGUUAGCGGUAACGCGAAGCUCUUGAUCGAAGCCCCGGUAAACGGCGGCCGUAACUAUAACGGUCCUAAGGUAGCGAAAUUCCUUGUCGGGUAAGUUCCGACCUGCACGAAUGGCGUAAUGAUGGCCAGGCUGUCUCCACCCGAGACUCAGUGAAAUUGAACUCGCUGUGAAGAUGCAGUGUACCCGCGGCAAGACGGAAAGACCCCGUGAACCUUUACUAUAGCUUGACACUGAACAUUGAGCCUUGAUGUGUAGGAUAGGUGGGAGGCUUUGAAGUGUGGACGCCAGUCUGCAUGGAGCCGACCUUGAAAUACCACCCUUUAAUGUUUGAUGUUCUAACGUUGGCCCCUUAUCGGGGUUGCGGACAGUGUCUGGUGGGUAGUUUGACUGGGGCGGUCUCCUCCUAAAGAGUAACGGAGGAGCACGAAGGUUGGCUAAUCCUGGUCGGACAUCAGGAGGUUAGUGCAAUGGCAUAAGCCAGCUUGACUGCGAGCGUGACGGCGCGAGCAGGUGCGAAAGCAGGUCAUAGUGAUCCGGUGGUUCUGAAUGGAAGGGCCAUCGCUCAACGGAUAAAAGGUACUCCGGGGAUAACAGGCUGAUACCGCCCAAGAGUUCAUAUCGACGGCGGUGUUUGGCACCUCGAUGUCGGCUCAUCACAUCCUGGGGCUGAAGUAGGUCCCAAGGGUAUGGCUGUUCGCCAUUUAAAGUGGUACGCGAGCUGGGUUUAGAACGUCGUGAGACAGUUCGGUCCCUAUCUGCCGUGGGCGCUGGAGAACUGAGGGGGGCUGCUCCUAGUACGAGAGGACCGGAGUGGACGCAUCACUGGUGUUCGGGUUGUCAUGCCAAUGGCACUGCCCGGUAGCUAAAUGCGGAAGAGAUAAGUGCUGAAAGCAUCUAAGCACGAAACUUGCCCCGAGAUGAGUUCUCCCUGACCCUUUAAGGGUCCUGAAGGAACGUUGAAGACGACGACGUUGAUAGGCCGGGUGUGUAAGCGCAGCGAUGCGUUGAGCUAACCGGUACUAAUGAACCGUGAGGCUUAACCUUACAACGCCGAAG